AAAUAGCGUAGUAUAGGUCUUCUUCCCACACAGGAUCACCUCGGUGACGUAAUGUGAAUCUGAGAUAUGUGGUGGUGAUAAGUGAGGUUCAGGUUCCUACAAUCUAGGAUCCGCUCAGCGUAUAUCUCCUAUAUAAGAUCAUUCUCCUGACUGACCCAUCAAGGAUGGAUGGAUAGGGAUGGGGACAAGAUGGCAGAGAGUAUAAUAAAUCUCACCCUAGAGAUCCUCCUCCGGCUUACUGGAGAGGACUACACAGUAGUGAAGAAGACCUCUAGUGAGCAUUGUCAGGCCCCGGUAUCUGAAGGACGGGGAGGAAUCCUGAGCCCAAUAUCCAGGCCGACGCCUCACAUCCCAAUACAUGAGAAAGUCAACAGAGAGAAGAUCCUAGAGCUCACCAACAAGAUUAUUGAGCUGCUGACUGGAGAGGUUCCUAUAAGGUGUCAGGAUGUCGCCGUCUAUUUCUCCAUGGAGGAGUCUGAGUAUUUAG